GACGAACGCUGGCGGCGUGCCUAAUACAUGCAAGUAGAACGCACAGGAUGCACCGUAGUUUACUACACCGUAUUCUGUGAGUUGCGAACGGGUGAGUAACGCGUAGGUAACCUGCCUGGUAGUGGGGGAUAACUAUUGGAAACGAUAGCUAAUACCGCAUAAGAACAUUUACUGCAUGGUAGAUGUUUAAAAGGUGCAAAAGCAUCACUACCAGAUGGACCUGCGUUGUAUUAGCUAGUUGGUGAGGUAACGGCUCACCAAGGCAACGAUACAUAGCCGACCUGAGAGGGUGAUCGGCCACACUGGGACUGAGACACGGCCCAGACUCCUACGGGAGGCAGCAGUAGGGAAUCUUCGGCAAUGGGGGGGAACCCCUGACCGAGCAAACGCCGCGUGAGUGAAGAAGGUUUUCGGAUCGUAAAAGCUUCUG
rnacentral:rRNA from 1 species